CUUGAUGGAGCCGAGCAGCAGGGGCCGCUCGGGGUCCCGCUCCUGCCCGUAGGUGGCCAGCAGCGCCUGCGCCUC
rfam:Streptomyces violaceusniger Tu 4113, complete genome.